GACGAACGCUGGCGACGUGCCUAAUACAUGCAAGUAGAACGCUGAAGGGAGAGCUUGCUCUUCUGGAUGAGUUGCGAACGGGUGAGUAACGCGUAGGUAACCUGCCUGGUAGCGGGGGAUAACUAUUGGAAACGAUAGCUAAUACCGCAUAACAUUGACUAUUGCAUGAUAGUCAAUUGAAAGGUGCAAAUGCACCACUACCAGAUGGACCUGCGUUGUAUUAGCUAGUUGGUGGGGUAACGGCUCACCAAGGCGACGAUACAUAGCCGACCUGAGAGGGUGAUCGGCCACACUGGGACUGAGACACGGCCCAGACUCCUACGGGAGGCAGCAGUAGGGAAUCUUCGGCAAUGGACGGAAGUCUGACCGAGCAACGCCGCGUGAGUGAAGAAGGUUUUCGGAUCGUAAAGCUCUGUUGUAAGAGAAGAACGAGUGUGAGAGUGGAAAGUUCACACUGUGACG
rnacentral:rRNA from 1 species